CUUGCAUUGCGGUGACCGGCCGACGAGCCGAAGGCGGUGCAAGAAGCAUACCGAGUGUUCGCGAUGGCGAAUGCUGG
rnacentral:sRNA from 1 species